UUGACCUCAAAUCAGGUAGGAAUA
rnacentral:rRNA from 1 species